rnacentral:rRNA from 1 species
UACGGGGGGGGCGAGCGUUGUUCGGAAUUACUGGGCGUAAAGGGUUCGUAGGUGGCCAACUAAGUCAGACGUGAAAUCCCUCAGCUUAACUGGGGAACUGCGUCUGAUACUGAUUGGCUCGAGUGCAGGAGAGGAAUGCGGAAUUCCAGGUGUAGCGGUGAAAUGCGUAGAUAUCUGGAGGAACACCGGUGGCGAAGGCGGCAUUCUGGACUGCAACUGACACUGAAGAACGAAAGCCAGGGGAGCAAACGGG